CGCCUGUGAGCAUUGAUGAGGUCUUGGCUCGGAAAGAUUACAACCGUUGAUCAAAACAGAAAUCCAACGGUGGAGAAACAAAGGCAUUCUCCAGCUUUGAUUGCUUAUAGGACAAGAUGGACACAUGUCAACUGCCGAGCGGAGGUGCGUGCAGGUGCUAAUAAUGGCUUCUAACACAGGCGAUUGGGACCGUCGCUGGGGAGCCAAGAUCUGACGGUGGGAGAUGAAGUGCGCAGGGACCGCCGAUGUGGCAAAAUCUGGAACGUUGGUGGAAAGUGCAAAUCUGACGGUCGCAAGAGGGCCGCAUCGCCUUAGCAUGUGUGGGAGAUUGAUCGCCCAUGUGUCGCACAUCCGUGAGGAUUAGACGCCACGCGUCAUGAUCUUGGGACUCCGAAUCUAAAUAUACUUAAUCCCCAAAUUUUUGUUUCUCCCCAUUUUUUCACUCCUCUCUUUCAAGUGCUCUCUCUCACCCCUCUCUGCUCCUCUGUAUCUUUCUUUCUUCUUACUCCUGCGACGAAACCUUAGCAUCCUUGAACCUUCUUCCUUCUACCAUCCCGAGCCUCACCUACAACUCUUUCUCACUCUCUCUUUUGAGACUCAAAAACCUAGCCCUUGUUGUGAUCUCUUCUUCCUACUUUCUCGACCCCUUUGCAAUUUGAAAACUUAAACCCUAAAAUCCCCCCCUUCGAAGCUUCCCCAUACUUUUCUUACUGGUUUCUAAAUCCAAUUUGUCUAUCUAUGGAGAUUUAAAAGGUCCUUUGGCCUCCCCCAAGCGGUUUAGUUUUGAUAUUCUAAGGAGGAUUUGACCAGGACAUGGUGAUGUUUGAACCAAACUAGAUAAGUUUCUCCUGCUCUCAUUUUCUACUUUUGUUUGAUUGUUCAGAUUUCUUCUUUUUCUUGAAAUACUGGUUGUGAUGUGAUUCGAAUAGUGUGUGUGAGAUAUUGUUGUGAUGACUUGAGUAGUGUUGAUGUCAGGUUUUGGUUUUGGGGAUUAGGGUUUCAGGUUGGUUGGGGUGAGGUUGAAGAUGAGUCAACUCACCUUCACCAAACUAGGGUUGACUCGUACAAGUCAACCCGUGUGGGUUGUGUGAACUCGGGUGAUCCCGAGUGAGCCAUGUGGGCUCAGGUCAUGUGUGGGCUUUGGGGGGGCUUUUAAUCGUGGGCCUGGGUGAAUUGGGCUUGGGUGUUUUAAUAAGUGGGCUGGGCCAGAACUGGGAUAUUUUAAAAAUGGGCUAGUUCGGUUGUAUUUUUAAAAUAAGGGUCGGGUUACUUUUAAACGAGCUAGGUUUAUUUUUUAAAAAUUGGCCAGCCCACUCAUUUUUUAAAACAGGGCCAGAUUCAUUUUUUUUAAACGGGCCAGCCCACUCACUUUUUAAAACAGGACCUGGAUUAUUUUUUUAAAACUGGAUUGGGGCAAAUUUUCAAAUGGGCUUGGCUUUUAAACAAAAUCUGAGUUUCAGGUCUAAGCUCAAGAUCUAGUGGGCAUCAAAGGCUCAGACCCGACCUCUUGUUUGGGUUUGGGAGAUCGGGGUGUGGUUCACAAGGAACUAGACCUAGGUUUUAGGUUUUGAGAGGUUCUGUUUGGGUUCAGUCCUAAACUGGGAAUCAAAGUGGGGAAACUUGCACACAACCUAAUACACUUUAAUAGUUAAGGAUUGAGUAGGAAAGGGAAAUUACCUACGAUUUUGUACUCCUCUGGCCUUCUUUUCCUCUCUCAAAUCCUGUCUGAAUGCUCUGCUCUAGUGUCUAGUCUGGUGACUAGUCCAGUUGAAUUAUGAAUUGCUCCUCUUCUUCUGUCCUUCCCGGCUUUGCAAUUUAGAAAAGUUUCACUCGUCUAAUCCUCUAAAUUCUAUGCUCUCAGCAAUUUCUUGUAGAGUUUUCCUCACUUUUCUUAAUUGCCAUCUCUCUUUUUUGAUUUUUGUAGGGUUCAGCUAUGCUCUCAAAGUUGUUCAGCUAUAGUGCGAGCCUCCCUAUUUAUAGGGGAGGCUUAGAGGGUAUUUGGCGCCAAAAAUACCCUAUCUUAACAAAAUUUUCUUGAGCUAGCGAGUAAACCUGGUGAUCCAGGUGGUAGCUAGGGAGUGGAGGGCAAGGCACCUUCCUCUUUUUGCAUUUCUUUUUAAUUUUUUUUUUUGUAAUUUCCUUCUUUUGCUGUAUUUUGAUGUAUCUCCUAUCCCUUUUGUCUUGCAAUAUAUUUUUGUACCAUCUUUAAUUUC